UACGUAGGUGGCAAGCGUUGUCCGGAUUUAUUGGGUUUAAAGGGUGCGUAGGUGGUCAAUUAAGUCAGUGCUGAAAUAUCCCGGCUUAACCGGGAGGGUGGCAUUGAUACUGAUUGACUUGAGUAGAGUUGAGGUAGGCGGAAUUGACGGUGUAGCGGCGAAAUGCUUAGAUAUCGUCAAGAACACCGAUAGCGAAGGCAGCUUACUAAGCUCAAACUGACACUGAUGCACGAAAGUGUGGGGAUCAAACAGG
rnacentral:rRNA from 1 species